AAAGCUCAGUCAGCGAUGCAAUACUGACGGGGUGACGCGUCACAUCUUCAUAGUUUACAUAUCUAUUUCUUAUUGACGUUGACAUCACUGGCAAAAAAGUAAACUAACAUAGACUUCAACGUCAAAGCCAUCUGACAGUUGUCACUGCAUGAGCUGCAGAACCUGUCCAAAUUCAGCACUAGUCCUUUGGACAGUAGACCCCGUGCACCCGUCCAUGGCUGACAGCUGCUGGUGAAGCCAGGGACUGCCGUUUCAGACAGGACUACCAGACAUAAACAACAGCAGCCUAGCAGUGAAGAGGUCACUGGAUCGACCAGCAAGCCUUGACUAGCAACUACCUGGAAACACAGCAAUGACAUGUUCAGCAAUGCUGGGUUGUCCUCAUUCUCACUAAUACUCUUUUAUCUAAGUCCUGUCAUGUCACAGAUGAGCCUAGUGCAAAUCAGAGGACCCUGGCCCAACCUGUAGCAUGUCCAGACUGUGCCAGCACUACCAGGGUGACCUCACUGUACCCUAACCCCCUUCCCUUUUACCAUGCUUUGGUGUCUUAAAACAUCUUCUGAAACUG